rnacentral:tRNA from 1 species
GGGCCUAUGGUUCAACGGUAGAAUGUGGCAUUCGCAUUGCCAAGAUCCGAGUUCAAUUCUCGGUAGGUCCA